CCUACGGGAGGCAACAGUCGAGAAUCAUUCACAAUGGGGGAAACCCUGAUGGUGCGACGCCGCGUGGGGGAAUGAAGGUCUUCGGAUUGUAAGCCCCUGUCAUGUGGGAGCAAAUUAAAAAGAUAGUACCACAAGAGGAAGAGACGGCUAACUCUGUGCCAGCAGCCGCGGUAAUACAGAGGUCGCAAGCGUUGUUCGGAAUCACUGGGCGUAAAGCGUGCGUAGGCUGUUUCGUAAGUCGUGUGUGAAAGGCGCGGGCUCAACCCGCGGACGGCACAUGAUACUGCGAGACUAGAGUAAGGGAGGGGGAACCGGAAUUCUCGGUGUAGCAGUGAAAUGCGUAGAUAUCGAGAGGAACACUCGUGGCGAAGGCGGGUUCCUGGACAUUAACUGACGCUGAGGCACGAAGGCCAGGGGAGCGAAAGGGAUUAGAUACCCUUGUAGUC
rnacentral:rRNA from 1 species